rfam:Dufourea novaeangliae contig2680, whole genome shotgun sequence.
AAAUCGGCCCUUUUCAGGGCCACAAUUCUAUAACAUAGAAACACUGU